rnacentral:rRNA from 1 species
UAGGUCGACCCGCUGAACUUAAGCAUAUCAAUAAGCGGAGGAAGAGAAACCAACAGGGAUUCCCUUAGUAACGGCGAGCGAAGUGGGAACCAGCCCAGGUCUGAAAUCUUCUGGCCGGCUUUGUUACGGUCGGACGAAUUGUGGUCUGGAGAGGCAAACUGUCCUGAUCCACUGCUCCUGAGCCCGAAAUUGACUUGGAACGGCAUGCCAAAGAGGGUGAGAGCCCCGUAGGGCCUGGAAAUUGGGAGUAGCAGGACGAGGGUUUGUACUCGUAGAGUCGGGUUGUUUGGGAAUGCAGCCCAAAGUGGGUGGUAGACUCCAUCCAAGGCUAAAUACAGGCGCGAGACCGAURGCUGACAAGUACC